CAGCCGCCACGGGAAUACGAAGGGGGCUAGCGUUGCUCGGAAUGACUGGGCGUAAAGGGCGCGUAGGCGGCGAUCAAAGUCAGGCGUGAAAUUCCUGGGCUCAACCUGGGGGCUGCGUUUGAUACUUGAUUGCUAGAGUGGGGAAGAGGGUCGUGGAAUUCCCAGUGUAGAGGUGGAAUUCGUAGAUAUUGGGAAGAACACCGGUGGCGAAGGCGGCGACCUGGUCCUUGACUGACGCUGAGGCGCGAAAGCGUGGGGAGCAAACAGGAUUAGAUACCCCAUAGUCCCUGUCUCUUAUACA
rnacentral:rRNA from 1 species